CACUCCACCCUGCCUCUGCAUCCCUUAAUGGAGAAACAGGCCUAAAACCAAACGGGAUUGUGACUCCCCAGCCCCUGCCCUCAAAGCUUCAGACCCCUCAGGUAGCAGCAGGACCUUGUGAUCUUGGCCCCUUGGAUCUGAGAUGGUUUUUGCAUCUUUCCAGGAGAGCCUCACAUUCUUCUUCCAGGUUGUAUCACCCCCGAGUUAGCAUAUCCCAGGCUCGCAGACUCAACACAGCAAGGGUGGGAGACAGCUGGGCACAACGGGGGAAUUCCGUUCAGCAUGGGCUCUAAACCCACAGAACUGACAAAGCCCCUGCUUCCCCACCCCCUCCUCAGGCUCCUGCGAGCAUACCCCCACCCCCAAAUCCCUCCCUGUUCUACACUGGGGACAGCAGAAUUUUCUCCCCGUCUUCCCCUUCCUGCCAUUUUCCCUCCCUUGAAAGGUUGACACUGGACAACCUUGGGGCAGCUGAGCCCUGGCCGCCUCCUGGCUGGAACCAUGAGAAGGAAGCUCAGUACUUCCCACAGUGUCCCUGUUGAUAACUGUUUUUAUUAACUGAAUUGUUUUUUUCAUGGACCAAAAUUUUUUUUGUACUGUCCCCUUAUUGAUGUUACCCA
rnacentral:lncRNA from 1 species